rnacentral:tRNA from 1 species
GGAACACGAGCCAAGUCAGACGGGCGACAUGUCCACUCCAGGCGGAACUACCACCCGUCGGGUUAGGGGUUCGAGUCCCCUGGGCUCCACCA